GAUUAACACUGGCGGUAUGCCUAAUACAUGCAAGUCGAACGGAAUUAAUCUUUCGGGAUUAAUUUAGUGGCGAACGGGUGAGUAACACGUGCUUAAUCUACCCUUAAAUCAGGAAUACGUACUGGAAACGGUAAAUAAUACCUGAUGUGUUUUUAAAACGCAUGUUUUAAAAAACAAGCAACUUCUGGUUGUGUUUAAGGAUGAGAGCGCGUCGCAUUUAGAUUGUUGUGGGGUAACGCCUACCAGUUAAUGAUGCGUAGCUGAACUGAGAGGUUGAACAGCCACACUGGGAUUGAGAUACGGCCCAGACUCCUACGGGAGGCAGCAGUAAGGAAUUUUUCACAAUGGGCGCAAGCCUGAUGAAGCAAUACCGCGUGAUUGAUGAAGGUUUUC
rnacentral:rRNA from 1 species